GUUCAUAAACUUCUAAAUGUUUACUUAAUAUUAAGAUGAAAGCACUCUUAAGGAAGGAUACUAUGAAGAUGCCUUAAGAUUGUUGGCAAGUCCAGGGUUUCAAACAAUUGGUGUUCUUCUCCAAAAAGAGGAGAGUCUUUGCAGUGGGAGCAUAAGGAUUAGUUGGUGGAUGUGGUAAAGGCAGACAAGUUGAUUGAAAUAUAUGCAAAUAGCUUUCAUUUGGAGGUGUGUUAUAGUUUACAAAGAGCUUUGGCAUGCACAUGUUGUAUCAUUUGGUAAAUAUUAGCAUACCCACCAUUCCUAGAAGCAGUUCAGUUGUCUUCUAACACACUGCUCAUUUGUGAAUAUUUUCUUUUUGAACAGGCAAAUUUUCACUUGAAAUAUUGAACUGCAGGAUCAAUAUCACAUAUCAUAAGGGGUGAUAAAGUCAUAUGCAUUCUUAAGUAAAAAUAACACCACAUUCUUAAAAGAACAUUUGUUUGUUUAUUACUUAAAUGGGUUUCAGCCACUAGCGUACAUUUGGCACCAGUUGCUGUGUUUUGCUCUAGCCCGAGACUCUAAUGCCUGAGCACUAGUUACUCUGGUUCUAAAAAGCUACGAAUUUUGAUAUAUGGCUCUACAUUAUGAAAGCUUACCUCUUUAUGGCUUCAACCAGAGGAGUGUAUGGCUCCGGGCUUUUCUUUUAGGCUCUUUGACCUAGAGAAAUGAAGCUUGGAACAGGGGAUCUGCAGGCACUAACUUGUAGAGGAGAGUGCCAGACCUGCAGGCAGCAUGCAUUCAGUGAGCUGGGAAACUCUAGUUAGGGAACAUGGAGUCACUAAGUCUUUCAAAGUAGGAAAGGAGCCCCAACUGUUAAGGCAGCUAGCCAAGCAGGUGACAAACUGUUGUACUUCAAAGACAGGAAAUCCCUUUAAACGUUAAAUUGUAAGGACACAAAAUGACCUACAUUCAGGAAAACAGGGAGUCAGUAAUUCCACAUCAGGCUUGUUCCAGUUUAUUGAAGCGUGUCUGCUGGAUAUUAACUGGUCCUAAGGAUCCUACUCUAAGUAGAUGGCAGCCUUUUCCACCGGAAACCCACAUUUUCAACAUCUUAUUUUUUAAAAGUCAUUCGAGUUCACAUCAGAUUGAAGUUACUAUGUAAGUACUGUCUCUGGGACAGUUUUCAACCUUAAAAUUAGUCUAGUUUAAAAUUACAGUUACUCAAUGUUUAAGAAAUCUAUGAACAUGUUUAAAAAAUCUUCUGAACAUCAAAACUAAGAGAAGGCAUCAGUAUAUAGCGCAGUCUUAGAAAACAACUGAUGGAUUGCUUAAAAUUGGAAAGACAGCCUAGAAGUGCCCCAGUAUCAAGGCAUAGGACUUUCCAGUAGCUUUUCCCAGCUCAGAAGGCAAAGUCUAGAUGGAUUUCCUGCCAAUCCCCAAAACUACCUAGGGCUGUGGAUGUAGCAGUUUGAAACAUGUGUCAAUACUAAAUACUUGUCCAACUGGCUUGGAAUAAAGGGAGGGCUGGGGGUGGGGAUGGCUGAAGGGAGCAGAGAAAUGGCAUAUGCUAUUUUCUCAAGGCAGGGCCUCUGUCCCCCAGCACUUGAAGAAUUACUGAACAAAUGUGUAAGUGGGAAGGAAAUGGAUGGGUGAAAGUUAACUUCAUCUCAGCACAAAAAAGUUGCCUUUCCAUGCUUACAUUUUCAAAAUGCAAAAAUCCAAAAAGCAUUGAUAUUGGAAAAUUCCUGGGAAACAGAAAAGCUUAACCAUAUUCCAUAAUUUUAUUAAUUUAAGACUUUCCAAGCAGGGAGAUCAAACUUAACUCUGCUUCCAGCUUACAAAGCAAGUCAACUUAUUUUGUAUGUAUAGCUAUAAACUGUUUGCAAGUUUCCUCAGUCAGGUACUCGGGAUGAAUUAUGAAUGGAAUUAGCUAGCCUGACUUGGAAUUUCCUCACUUUUACUGGUCUUUAAACAAGAUUUUUAUAUAUUCAUAUGUAAUCGAUGGAACCAACACAUGAAAUGGUCCUUCACAUAAAACACUCUCUUUUAAAGUGAUUUUGCAGUUAAGGAAACCUAAAUAUGAACUUCUGAUGUGGAAAAGGUAGUUUUUACAUGCUAUUUAGAAACUGAUCUGAAAAACUGAUGAGCUGACCACAAGAUUUCUGUCAGAAACUGAAAUUAGGAUUAUAUUUUAAAAUAUAAUUGUAAAUGCUUGCUUUCUUUCAUAAAACCAAUCUGCUUCUCAUAUUCCUAGCCUUAGUCACAUUGAAAAUACAUAAAUUUGGUAUUUGGUUAUUGAGUUUUGAAGUUGCAAGGCAGGAUAAUUUAGAUAUUCAUAAAUACAGAGCAUAAGAAAAUCCUUCCUGAGUGCAAAACUACCUUUAAAAUCAUCAUCCAAAGGAGUGAAUGCCACAGCUCCUGAUUUAAUUUUGGCUAUUAGCUAUUUCAUACCUUAAUAUACAUUCUUCCACAUAAAACUUUGCACUGUCUUAAAACUUGCCUACAAACUGGUAUGUCCAAAUUGUGUGCGUAAAAAAAAUAAGAUGAAGAUCGAUGUCAAGUUUUCAAGAAAGAAAUGAAUUUGGAUUGGUUUUUACACCAACAAGACAGAUGUUCAAAUUUAUCCCAUGUAUAUAAAAAGAUUAGUAUAAAAUAUUUUCAAUUGUUUAUGCAGAAAGUAGUAGGGAACAAAUUCCAAUAAUUUUUAUCACAUAGCUGAUAUAGCUAAAUAUUUGGAACAUUUAAAAUAAAAGUGCUAAUUAAAAUAUAUAUAAAAUUUUCAAAGUUUAAAAAGCAGUUGGAAAAAUACUUUUACCACUUAGAAUACAAUUACCUGCACAGCUUAAUAGUCUCAUAGAUUUCAGGAGUAAAAUGUGUUUGGAAACGUCUUUUCCAUUCCCUCAAACCUAUAGUAGGCUGAGAAUAUAACUCUUUCUUCAUAAUAUAUUAAAAAGUAUCCACCAUCUUGAGAGAACUAUAUAUUAUGGUAAUAAUUUUUACAUCUGAUUAUGCCAUUUUUAGACUAUGGAAUAUAGUCUCUGAAUUCUUUUGGCGGGGAGGGAAAUGGUGUGGAAAAAAUACUUUUAAAACGUGUUUCUAUCUUCAUUUAAAAUGUAUACAUUCUCAAGUUUCUUAACAAAAAGCUUUGAUCUCACUAUUUUAUAUAGACUGCAUUUACAGGCUUGGAAAUCCUGUUCUCUCUAUUAAACUCCUUAAACAGGAUUAUAUUAAUCUUACUUUAAAAACUACUUACAGCAAACGUGGUGCUCAAAAGAAUUAAAAAUAAUAGUUGCAGUGUUUUAAUAUUUAUGAAAAUGUUUUUUGAAAGACAGAUGAACUUUGAAAUGUGAACACAGAAAAAAUAAUAGAAGUAUAAAGUUUCCUUUCAAAACUUUUCCUUUCGAAGAAAUAUUUAUCCUACGUUUCUACAUGCAAAACUUUUAAGAGUAAACUAUUGAGAAAAUCCUAGAUAGUAAAACAUUUGUUUCUGUAAGUUCAUAAGCACUUGCUGUACAUACUCAGAGGCAGCCCUGACCCACUGUAUCCACAAAUGCAUCUGCAGGGGGAAUGGUUCCAAGUCAGUCACUGAGUGUCAUCUGUCCCUUCUCCAGGAGCAGGGACAUUGAGUCACAAUGAAAUUUUAUUAUUUAUAUGCAUUCUUUUAAAUUCUGUUUUUCUUAGCGUUCAAAGCUUUGAUAGUAAAUGUCAAACCACACUGAAGUUGACUUGUUAGCUUUUUUAGCUAGCCUUACUGCUGUCGGCUAUUUCAAAUUGCAAAUGACAACAAACAGGUGGUUUUUUUUUUUUAAUCACUAAAGAGCAUCCCUUUUCAUAUAGCUAACAUAACAAAAAAGUCUAAAACAUGGGCAUAUAAUUCCCACUGUAAAUUAAUUCUAUUUAUUUCAGGCUUACGUAUUAAUAGCAAGUGAAUGCUUUUCAAGAGAUCCUUGGCUGUUCCAUUUGUCCUUGAACAUUAACCUUGCCACCUCAAAACUCAAUGCCUUUGCACUUAGUCUAGAAAAUUAAAAAUACAAGUCGUCCUCAUCUUAGUAACCUGUGCAAGUUUCUACAAGUGACUGGAGGAUCUACGUGAUAAGUGAUCAUUUAACACACGGGUGUUAAGUUCAUUCUUGCUGCAAAAGAAGGCUAUUGUAUCUCCUGACCCUGAAAGCAAGAUGAAGUCACUGAGACACCAAAGGUUAAUUGCUUGCCCAAAGCCAUGUAGCAACUUGAACUGUGUCUCUUUAAAUCUACUGAGGAAGAUAUUCCUUCUGGCCCACAGGAUGCCAAAAUGACUUGGUGAUUUAUUUAUGCAGCACUUGGCAGCCUAUAGUCCAGAUUGUGGCUGAAGCUGAAUUUUAUGAGCCUUCCCCUAGAAGUAUUCGAAACCCAGGGGAUUGUGGUGAAAAAGACAAACACUGCCCCGUCUCGCCCGGAACAGACAUUUCAGAGGAGGGAGAUGGAUGAUAAAUAGGACAUCAUGAGGAUUAAAUGAGGAAAAAUAAAAACCAGCACACAGCAUCUCCUAAGUGCUCAAAACUGCAGGCUCUCUUACCUCUUGACUCUUGAGGACCUUGCCUUCUAAAUAUAUCUCCGUCUCAUACAUCACUUCAAGUCACAGGACACUGGAUUUUGUGGAUGCUCCUUGGACAUACUGGAAUGCACCUUGGGUAGCCCAUGGAUCAUUUUCCUCAGUAUGAAGCAUGGGGGGGCUGGAAAAUGAGCUCAUGAGCUGGUCGAGCCAGCACAACAAGCUGGAGCCAGAGAGAAUAUGUGUGUGUGUGAUGUAAUUAUUACUCUUAUUGCUGGUGAUGGAAUAGAGGUUAAACAAACAAAAACAGCAAAGACACAUAUACAGCGCGCUCGUCCCUUCCUGCAGGGACAAAGAUAUCCUUUUUAGCCACGUGUUUAAUUCUUCAAUGUCAAUAUUUGCAGAAAACAUAAGCACAGCAUGAUAUUGCCUUGGAGUUGUUGAUUAAUCCCAUUCGGAAGCUUCGUUCCAUGGGAGGAAUGACUUAACUCAGCUUCCAUGGGAAACAGAGACCAGCCAUAGAUGCCUGAGAGGAGUAAUGAUGGCACUGAUUUAAUCUCCAACCUAGAGAUAUGCCAGGGAUGUUUGUCACCUGUUUAAGAAGCUAAAAUGUCACCAUGGAGUCUACAGUUCUUUGAUAACCAUUUCAUCUACAAAACAAAGGAGGCGUGUGAACACAUGAAAUGAAAAAUAAGAGACACUGUGAGCUAGGGGAGCCCUGAAUGCCCUGCGGGAGUCUCUACGUCUUGGGGCACUGAGGUCCUCUCCCAGGGCUGGGCACCAGGACUCUCUCAUUGUGCUCACCCUUUUCCCUGCCUCACUCUGGCUUUUGGAUGAGAGGAAAUAGAAUUGAGAAAAUAUCAGAAAAGUUUCUCCAUAAGAGAAAGGCAAACCAUUUUCAGUCUCCUAACCACUCUUCUUCAUUUCUUGAGGUUUAAACCAACUUUAAUCACAAAGCCAUGAGGCCAUUGGUUUUCCCACCCAUUCACUACAAUGUGGGAUCAAACAUUUUCUUUUUUGUGUCUGUUUAUAUGAUAACUUAUGUAGCCUGCAGACUUUCAGAGCGAUACAGUAUUGGUUUCCUUCAAAUAUUAGAGCUUUACUCUAUUUUAUUUUCAUUUCCCAAAAUAUAAAGUCUGAGUCCCUUAGCUUGGGAUCACUAAGUACCAAGAAAUCAGCUGAGUUAAAGUGGCUCACAGAACUUGGGACAAUUAUAGCUUCUUGCAAAGCCAAAAAGUACUUCUGAGCCAAGGUCAUUCAGUAAAUCUCAGCUAAAUAAAAAUGUCAUUAAGUUUUGUAAAGCCUUUUUGCUGGGCAAGAAGUAAAAAAUAACUUACAAACCAUUUGAAAAACCCUAAAGGUCAGUCUGACUUCUCUGAGCAAAGGCUUCAUCAGGCUUCUGCCUCUUACUGAAAGUCAAAGCAUCAAAUAUCCAUCGAUUCUUGAGCCCUCUUUAUUCUCCACCCAGAGCUGAGCCCAAUGCCUCACAGUCUGCCUGUUUCCAAUUCCUCUGUGCCAGCAUAUCUGUUAAUGUCCCAAGUGGCUUCCUUUACAGCCGCGUGAUCAUCUGUGUAUUAUUCACUAAUCGCAAAUUAAAGUCAU